UCUUACGGGAACUAUACCCUACUAUGUGAUUGUUCGCACAUACCUAAAAAAGUCACGACUACCGCUCUCCCAACACCGCCACCAGUACAAUUCGGCCCUCGUCACCCCAUGGCGAAAUUCUGCGGCAAAAAAGACUGCAGUCAAAAGCCGUAAACGCCGCAUGGUAGGACGAGCAAUUUCGACGACACUAAGCAUUUGAAUGGAUUUGGAGGAUGUGGAAUCAGGAUAUUAUAUUUUUUUAUUAUGGGUGAGGUGCUUAUGAAGUGCUAUGAUCUGUACACAGAUAAUUGAUAGACUGAAAAGAAUGCUAGGGUAUGGUGUUUCUUAAAAAGGUGGUGGUGGUAAAUUGGAUAGUGAACAGGGAAAAUAAUUUAAGCAGGGAAUUAUUAUCAUUGUGAUAAUACUUGCAUACAAUGUAAAUAUAUUUUAUUAUUGAUGUUUAAUAUACAAG